rnacentral:rRNA from 1 species
GACGAACGCUUGCGGCGUGCUUAACACAUGCAAGUCGAACGGAAAGGCCCUGCUUUUGUGGGGUGCUUGAGUGGCGAACGGGUGGGUAACACGUGAGUAACCUGCCCUUGACUUUGGGAUAACUUCAGGAAACUGGGGCUAAUACCGGAUAGGAGCUCCUGCUGCAUGGUGGGGGUUGGAAAGUUUCGGCGGUUGGGGAUGGACUCGCGGCUUAUCAGCUUGUUGGUGGGGUAGUGGCUUACCAAGGCUUUGACGGGUAGCCGGCCUGAGAGGGUGACCGGCCACAUUGGGACUGAGACACGGCCCAGACUCCUACGGGAGGCAGCAGUGGGGAAUAUUGCACAAUGGGCGGAAGCCUGAUGCAGCAACGCCGCGUGCGGGAUGACGGCCUUCGGGUUGUAAACCGCUUUCGCCUGUGACGAAGCGUGAGUGACGGUAAUGGGUAAAGAAGCACCGGCUAACUACGUGCCAGCAGCCGCGGUGAUACGUAGGGUGCGAGCGUUGUCCGGAUUUAUUGGGCGUAAAGGGCUCGUAGGUGGUUGAUCGCGUCGGAAGUGUAAUCUUGGGGCUUAACCCUGAGCGUGCUUUCGAUACGGGUUGACUUGAGGAAGGUAGGGGAGAAUGGAAUUCCUGGUGGAGCGGUGGAAUGCGCAGAUAUCAGGAGGAACACCAGUGGCGAAGGCGGUUCUCUGGGCCUUUCCUGACGCUGAGGAGCGAAAGCGUGGGGAGCGAACAGGCUUAGAUACCCUGGUAGCCCACGCUGUAAACGGUGGGUACUAGGUGUGGGGUCCAUUCCACGGGUUCCGUGCCGUAGCUAACGCUUUAAGUACCCCGCCUGGGGAGUACGGCCGCAAGGCUAAAACUCAAAGGAAUUGACGGGGCCCCGCACAAGCGGCGGAGCAUGCGGAUUAAUUCGAUGCAACGCGUAGAACCUUACCUGGGUUUGACAUGGAUCGGGAGUGCUCAGAGAUGGGUGUGCCUCUUUUGGGGUCGGUUCACAGGUGGUGCAUGGCUGUCGUCAGCUCGUGUCGUGAGAUGUUGGGUUAAGUCCCGCAACGAGCGCAACCCUUGUUCACUGUUGCCAGCACGUUAUGGUGGGGACUCAGUGGAGACCGCCGGGGUCAACUCGGAGGAAGGUGGGGAUGACGUCAAGUCAUCAUGCCCCUUAUGUCCAGGGCUUCACGCAUGCUACAAUGGCUGGUACAGAGAGUGGCGAGCCUGUGAGGGUGAGCGAAUCUCGGAAAGCCGGUCUCAGUUCGGAUUGGGGUCUGCAACUCGACCUCAUGAAGUCGGAGUCGCUAGUAAUCGCAGAUCAGCAACGCUGCGGUGAAUACGUUCCCGGG